rnacentral:rRNA from 1 species
CCUACGGGAGGCAGCAGUGAGGAAUAUUGGUCAAUGGACGAGAGUCUGAACCAGCCAAGUAGCGUGAAGGAUGACUGCCCUAUGGGUUGUAAACUUCUUUUAUAUGGGAAUAAAACAGGGUAUGCAUACCCUCUUGUAUGUACCAUAUGAAUAAGGAUCGGCUAACUCCGUGCCAGCAGCCGCGGUAAUACGGAGGAUCCGAGCGUUAUCCGGAUUUAUUGGGUUUAAAGGGAGCGUAGGUGGAUUGUUAAGUCAGUUGUGAAAGUUUGCGGCUCAACCGUAAAAUUGCAGUUGAAACUGGCAGUCUUGAGUACAGUAGAGGUGGGCGGAAUUCGUGGUGUAGCGGUGAAAUGCUUAGAUAUCACGAAGAACUCCGAUUGCGAAGGCAGCUCACUGGACUGCAACUGACACUGAUGCUCGAAAGCGUGGGUAGCAAACAGGAUUAGAUACCCGAGUAGUC